rnacentral:rRNA from 1 species
AGCGAACGCUGGCGGCAGGCUUAACACAUGCAAGUCGAGCGGGCACUUCGGUGUCAGCGGCAGACGGGUGAGUAACACGUGGGAACGUACCCUUCGGUUCGGAAUAACGCUGGGAAACUAGCGCUAAUACCGGAUACGCCCUUUUGGGGUAAGGUUUACUGCCGAAGGAUCGGCCCGCGUCUGAUUAGCUAGUUGGUGGGGUAAUGGCCUACCAAGGCGACGAUCAUUAGCUGGUCUGAGAGGAUGAUCAGCCACACUGGGACUGCGACACGGCCCAGACUCCGACGGGAGGCAGCAGUGGGGAAUAUUGGACAAUGGGCGCAAGCCUGAUCCAGCCAUGCCGCGUGAGUGAUGAAGGCCUUAGGGUUGUAAAGCUCUUUUGUCCGGGACGAUAAUGACGGUACCGGAAGAAUAAGCCCCGGCUAACUUCGUG